rnacentral:rRNA from 1 species
UACGUAGGUGGCAAGCGAUACUCGGAAUCACUAGGCGUAAAGCGCAGGUAGGCGGUUUGGUAAGUCUUUUGUGAAAGCUCCUGGCUUAACUGGGAGAGGUCAAAGGAAACUACCAGGCUAGAGUUUGGUAGGGGAUACUGGAAUUCCUGGUGUAGCGGUGAAAUGCGUAGAUAUCAGGAGGAAUACCUAUGGCGAAAGCAGGUAUCUGGGCCACAACUGACGCUGAGCUGCGAAAGCUAGGGGAGCAAACAGG